CAUGAUAUGAUACUGCUUGUUGCUUGACUCUCCACCGUCAUCAGUCUCCUCUGUCCACCAUUCAUAAUAUCCUCCCGCAUCCCCACGCUCCAUCACUCCUCCCCACACUUGAGAAAGAGAGAGAGUAACACAGCUCGCAUUUUCUUUUUGUCAAUACAGUGUCGGUGGAGCUUCGAGUUCUCUGCCUUUUUGUUUUUGUUUUCGUUUUCUUGAAUUGAGGGAGGAUCAAAAGUAAGGUAAUUUACUAAAUUAAUACAAGAAGAAAGGGUGAAAUCUUAAGAAUAUGUACGGAAGAGAUCCAUGGGGAGGACCCCUGGAGAUAAAUGCAGCAG
rnacentral:lncRNA from 1 species